GCCAUUGUUUCUCUGUGUGAUCCAAAGAAAACCCGCAUCCCAAUCUCACGCUGGAUUUGUUCAAUACGGAUUCCUGAGUCUCAUCCAAACCCAAUGAGUCAGAAUGUCUAGGAUUGGGGCACAGAGAUCUGCAUUUUGAACAAAGCUGAUCCCCCAUCCCAAGAUUCUUCUGCACCCUGGAGUGUGGGAACUGUGGUUCUAGUCAGUACACUUGAUGUCAAGAUGUUGCAAAUGCCCUUGUCUAGAUGAAGACUUUACCGUACUACAUUAAGGGUCUGCAAGAGAAAACCCAGCCAAGGAUUCUCAGAACAACCCGAGCAACUUUCCUAUCCUGUCUCUCCUGAUGAAGGCUCCUGCUGCUUCUUAUGAGAUGUUCACUAAGCAUUGAUGGAAAUGGAGAGAAGUUUCAAAGAGAAGAGAGCUCAGAUUUGGGCUAUGGGACAAAUGUGGAAGGAGGAAGAAGGAAAUGAAAGGUGGAGUGUGGACAGAGUGGUGACUCUUGGAAAGGAAGACCUGAGGGAG
rnacentral:lncRNA from 10 species